rnacentral:rRNA from 1 species
UACCAGCACCCCGAGUGGUCGGGACGUUUAUUGGGCCUAAAGCAUCCGUAGCCCGGUUCUACAAGUCUUCCGUUAAAUCCAGCUGCUUAACAGAUGGGCUGCGGAAGAUACUAUGGAGCUAGGAGGCGGGAGAGGCAAGCGGUACUCGAUGGGUAGGGGUAAAAUCCGUUGAUCCAUUGAAGACCACCAGUGGCGAAGGCGGCUUGCCAGAACGCGCUCGACGGUGAGGGAUGAAAGCUGGGGGAGCAAACCGGG